rnacentral:lncRNA from 1 species
AGGCAUGUUACUCCUCCCUCACUGUUAGUUCAACUAAAAGCAUGUUUUAAUGGAUGGUUUUCAUAGAAUAAUUUUGAUAUUGUUUUGGGUUUUGAAAUAUGUGUUGGAGGGUUUUGGUUGUUCUUAGUUGGAUAAUUUUUUUCAUGUUAUUCUUAUGGUUUUCAUGUUAUAAUUAUGAUUUGAACAAGUGGUUGCAUGGGAAUGGUAAAUUGACACUUGAUUUUGGUUUUGGAAACUAUAUGUCAUCAACAUAUUUGUUAAAAUGCCUAUGAGAAUGGUUUU